UCCCACACUGGUCAGUUACAGCCUCCUACGUCCCAGCUGUGCGUUUCCUGUGAAAAGAAUAAUGAUCAGCAGCACAAGUUCUAUAAGGGCAGAACCAUGUCUGUCUCCAGAGCCUGGCACAAGGCCUGACACCUAAAGAGCACCCAAAGAACAUCUGUGCCAUCAAUGAAUGAAUGAAUGAAUGAAGCAAUGGUUCCAUCUUGCUCUUGUCUGGGCUCCAGAGCCUGGUAUUCAGAAAAUGUCAUUUCAGCAGAGAACUAACUGGAUGUGGCUGCGGCAGCCCUGAAGAGCCCAUAGAAGAAAAGUUUGAAUUCCCCAGAAUCAGCCCAUUCUUGCAUUAAUUUCAAAACAUAGUUGAGUGCCUACUGUGUGUGCCAGGCACUGGUGGUGGUGAUACAGCAGUAAGCAAGAGAGACAGUAAAAAAUACAGACAAGCAAA
rnacentral:lncRNA from 1 species